UUACGGGAGGCAGCAGUGGGGAAUCUUGCGCAAUGGCCGAAAGGCUGACGCAGCGACGCCGCGUGGGGGAGGAAGGCCUUCGGGUUGUAAACCCCUGUUGCCCGGGACGAAAGCGUACCUUCAGGUGCGUUGACGGUACCGGGUGAGGAAGCACCGGCUAACUCCGUGCCAGCAGCCGCGGUAAUACGGAGGGUGCAAGCGUUGUCCGGAAUCACUGGGCGUAAAGGGCGCGUAGGCGGCUCAUGAAGGCUGUGGUGAAAGUCCGGGGCUCAACCUCGGAUCGGCCGUGGCGACUCGUGGGCUGGAGCACUGUAGAGGCGGGUGGAAUUCCGGGUGUAGCGGUGGAAUGCGUAGAGAUCCGGAAGAACACCAGUGGCGAAGGCGGCCCGCUGGGCAGUGGCUGACGCUGAGGCGCGACAGCGUGGGGAGCAAACAGGAUUAGAUACCCGAGUAGUC
rnacentral:rRNA from 1 species